rnacentral:miRNA from 1 species
UCGGGCGCCUAGCGGAAUACAAGUACUACGAUAUGGAUCAAGCAGCAUUGCGCGCGCUUGGCGUGUUU